rnacentral:rRNA from 1 species
CAGUAGCCACGGUAAUACGAAGGGUGCAAGCGUUAAUCGGAAUUACUGGGCGUAAAGCGUGCGUAGGCGGUUUGUUAAGUCUGCUGUGAAAUCCCCGGGCUCAACCUGGGAAUGGCAGUGGAUACUGGCAAGCUAGAGUGUGUCAGAGGAUGGUGGAAUUCCCGGUGUAGCGGUGAAAUGCGUAGAGAUCGGGAGGAACAUCAGUGGCGAAGGCGGCCAUCUGGGACAACACUGACGCUGAGGCACGAAAGCGUGGGGAGCAAACAGGAUUAGAGACCCCGGUAGUCCCUGUCUCUUAUAC